UUUUUUUUUUUUUUGAGAAAGUUUAGCCCUGAGCUAACUGCUGCCAAUCCUCCUCUUUUUGCUGAGGAAGACUGGCCCUGAGUUAACAUCUGUGCCCAUCUUCCUCCACUUUAUAUGUGGGACACCUACCACAGCAUGGCUUCCCAAGUGGUGCCACGUUCACACCCAGGAUCCGAACAGGUGAACCCCAGGCCACCAAAGCAGAGCAUGCACACUUAGCCACUGUGCCACUGGGCUGGCCCCAUGACUUUUGUAUAUUAACCUUGUAUCCUGAAACCCUGCUAUAAUUGUUUAUUGGUUCUAGGAGUCUUUUAGUCCAUUCUUUUGAAUAUUCUACUAGGUGAUCAUGUCAUCUGCAAACAAAGACAAUUUUAUGUCUUCCUUCCCAGUUAUUAUACCUUUUAUUUCCUUUUCUUGUCUUAUUGCAUUAGAUAGAAUUCCAGAACAAUGUCAAAAAGAAGAUGUUAAAGGGCACAUCCUUGCCUUGUAUCUGAUCUUAGUGGGAAAGCUUCAAGUUCCUCACCAUUAAGUAUGAUGUUAGCUGUAGAUUUUUUGUUGAUAGUCUUUAUCAAGUUGAGAAAGUUCUUUUGUGCCCCUAGCUUACUGAGAGUUUUUAUCAUGAAUGGGUGUUGGAUUUUGCCAGAUACUUUGCCUGUAUCUACUGAUAUGAUCAUGUGGUUUUUCUUCUUAGCCUGUCAAUGUGACGGAUUAAGUUAAUUGAUUUUAGAAUGGUAAAUCAGCCUUUGCAUACCUGAGAUAAAUCCCAUUUGAUUGUGGUAUAUGAUUCUUUUUAUAGAUUGUUGGAUUUGAUUUGCUAGUAUUUUGUUGAGGAUAUUUUCAUCUAUGUUUGGGAGAAAUAUUGAUCUAUAAUUUUCUUUUCUUGUAAUAUGUUUGUCUGGUUUUAGUAUUAGGGUAAUGCUGGCCUCAUAGAAUGGGUUAAGAAUUAGUCCCUCUGCUUCUAUCUUCUGGAAGAGAUUGUAGAAAAUUGACAUAAUUUCUUCCUUAAGUAUUUGAUAAAAUUCAGAAGGGAACCUAUUGGUGCCUCCUGUUUUGUGUUUUGAAACAUUACGCAUUAUUGAUUCAAUUUUUUAAAUAGAUAUAGGCCUAUUCAGAUUCUCUGUUUCUUCUUGUGUGAGUUUUGGCAGUUUCCAUCUUCCAAGGGGUUGGUUGGUCCACUUCAUCUUGGUUAUCAAAUUUAGGGGCAUAGAGUUGUUCAUAAUAUUCCUUUGUUAUCCUCUUAAUGUCUAUGGGGUCUAUAGUGAUGUCCCCUCUUUCAUUUCUCAUAUUAGUAAUUUUUGUCUUGUCUCUUUUUUCUCAGUUACCCUGGCUAGAAGCUUUUCAAUUUUAUUGAUAUUUUCAAAGAACCAGCCACUGGUUUUGUUGAUUUUCUCUGUUGACUUCCUGUUUUUAGUUUCAAUGAUUUCUGCUCUAAUUCUUAUUAUUUCUCUUCUUUGGCUUACUUUGGAUUUAAUUUUCGCUUCCUUUUCUGGUUUCCUAAGGUGGAAGCUUGGAAUAAUGAUUUUCGAUCUUUCUUCUUUUCUAACACAUGUAUUCAAUGUUCUAAAUUUCCCUCUAAGCACUGUUUUUUUGCAUUCCACAAAUUUUGAUGUCAUAUUUUCAUUUUCAUUUAGUUCAAAAUAUUUUGUAAUUUCUGUUGAGAUUUCGUCCUUGACCCUUGUGUAAUUUAGAAGUGUGUUGUUAAUCUCCAUGUAUUUUGGGGAUUUUCCAACUAGUUUUUAGUUAUUGAUUUCUAGUUUAAUUCUAUUGUGGUCUGAGAGUAGAUACUGUAUGAUUUAUACUCUUUUAAAUUUGUUAAAGUGUGUUUUAUGGCCCAAAGGUAGUCUAUCUUGGUGAAUGUUCCAUGUGAACUUGAGAAGAUAUGUAAUCUGCUGUUGUUGGGUAAAGCAGUGUGUAGACGUCAAUUAUAUCCAGCUGAUUGAUGGUGGUGUUGAUGUUAACUAUGUCCUUACUCAUUUUCUGCUUGCUGAAUCAGUUCAUUUCUGAUAAAUAGGUGUUGAUAUCUCCAAUUACAAUAGUGGGUUCACCUGUGUCUCUUUGCAAUUUUAUUAGUUUUUGCCUCACUUAGUUGGCCGCUGUGUGGUUAGGUCUGUACAUGUUAGGGAAAGUUAUGUCUUCUUGGAGAAUUGAUCCCUUAAUCAUGAUGUAUGGCCUUCUUUAUCCCUAAUAUUUUUUUCUUGCUCUGAAGUCUGCUCUGUCUGAAAUUAAAAUAGUUACUUCAGAUUUCUUUUGGUAGUCUUGGCAUAGUAUAUCUUUCUCUCUCCCUUUACUUGUAAUCUGUAGGCAUUUUUAUAUUUCAAGUGCAUUUCUUGUAAGAACAUAUAGUUGGGUUUUGUAUUUUUAUCCACUCUGACAAUCUCUGUAUUUUAAUUGGUAUAUUUGUUUUCCACACUUUUUUCAUUGGGAGAACCUGUCAGAACUCCUGGAGGUAAAACUCAAAAAAUGUGUGGAGUUUUUAACUCUCAGACUUGUUCACACAAGUCUAUCAACACAAGAGCUAUUCAUCUUGCAAUUUGUCAAUUACACUUCCGGUUCCCCUUGAUGUUUCCGCUCGUGCAUCUCUGCACCAGUAAAUUGUGAUUCUCUAUAUUUGCCUGUCUGUCUCUCCAGUUUGGGGGGCAGUGGUUUGUUCCUGUGACUUCUCUUCUCUGAAGAAUCUAAGAAGAGUUGCUGAUUUUUCAAUUUAUUUAUCUUUUUAUUUGUGGUUAGAAGGAUGACUUCCAACUUCCUUACAUACAGAAUUGGACACCAAAAGUCUCUAUUUGUUUUUAGAAUGAUUUUUCUUAAAGUCUUUCAUGAUUUUUCCACUGUAGCUUUUUUUAAACUCAAGAUUUACAUUUAGCAUUAAAUUCAUUCUUUUUUGCAUCUAUCUCAUAAAAAUUAUGAGAUUUAUUCAGCCAAACAUGGUUGUCUCUUUUAAUUCAUAUUUAGGCCUACACAAAAUUUUGCUUCAUAAUUUUAAAAUCUAAACAGAAAUAAAUCUUCCAUCACUUUGGGCCAGAGUUGCCUGUAUCACAAUUUC
rnacentral:lncRNA from 1 species